GUUCCAGUCAGCAAACAACGUGGACAUGAGGGUCCCUGCUCAGCUCCUGGGGCUCCUGCUGCUCUGGAUUGCAGGUGCCAGAUGUGACAUCCAGUUGACCCAGCCACCAUCCCUGUCAUCAUCUCUGGGAGACAGAGUCACCAUCACUUGCAGAGCGAGUCAGGGCAUUGGCAAUAAUUUACAUUGGUACCAGCAGAUAGCAGGGAAAGCUCCAAAGCUCCUGCUCAGUUAUGCAACUACUUUGCAAUCAGCGUUUCCACCAAGGUUCAGUGGCAGUGGAUCUGGGACAGAGUUCACUGUCCCCAUCAGCAGCCUGCAGCCUGAAGAUGCCGCAACUUAUUUCUGUCAACAGAGUUAUACCUAUCCUCCCAAAGUGACACAAGUCAUUACAAAAACCUCCCAGCAAGGCAGAAGUGAGAGGCUGGCCUGUCCCAGCUGCUGCUCCUGGGACCUCUACCUGCACAACUGCCUCUACUCUACACAACUUCUCAGAUGA